GCCACGCCAGCAUGUGAAUGAAACAGACAGUGGCAGAACUCCUAGGCAACCUUUACAUAAUCCUCCCUGUGCUGUCUCCUUCUUGGGCACACCGUUACCCUACUGGAGCAGGAUAUGAGGUAAGGGAAAAGAGCAGAAGAAUAAUCUAAGCUGUGGAAUAUGAAAGGAAGGAAUAGGAGGGAAAAAGAGGAAGGAGGGAGAGUGGAGCAAGAAGUCAGUGUUUGUUUAAGGUUUGUCAUACCCCGAGGGCUGUGCUAGAUGCUUUAGACAUGUGAUCUCCUUUCAUUCUGUGUGUGUGCGCGCGCGCGCGCGCGCGUGUAAUGUGAGAACCUCCUUAGCAAGUACUUCGUGAGCUCUCUUUGGAGAGUAAAUGGAUAUUUUGGAGAUGGGAGAAGAUAUACUCAUUCUCAGGUGUUUUGUACUGUUGCUUCCCAGUUGUUGGCAGGAACAUUUAAUGAUACUCUUGGAUCUCAAGUAUCGGUUUUAAAAUAAUAGUGGUAGUAGUAACAUAUUUAUUCUCACUUCAGAUUUAACUGCAAGUGAAAGAGAGACUGAGAAUUAAUUGUACCCAUCAAUUCAUUGUCAGUCUUGGAAAGAAUUCAGCUAGAGCCCACAAUGUGUAAAGAAGUGUACUUGGUACUGCUGUAGGUACACAUAGUUACCAUAUGCAUGAGUGCCAGAAUCCAUUUUAAUAGAUCUAAAAUCUGUAUUUCUGAAAAUAAAGUUAACUACGUAGUCUGGGAAGUGCAGCACUGAGGAAAUGAAAUUUGAUCAGGGUAUUGAUGAUGGCAUAUAGAUGGACAGAGCAGAGAGAAGGAAAGCACUCCAGUCAGACAGAGGAAAACCCAAUUCCAAAGUUGGUGGAGAUGCUUUGGCAAGGCUAGUUUAGAAUCACUUGGGAAGGAUGGGUCUGUGCUAUAGUCUACAUUUAAAAAUGUACCAAGUCAAUGUAGCAAGCUCAUUAUUAUUUUCUAAAUGUGACUUUAUAAUACAGAACCCAGUAAGGGUAAUUUCUUAUUUGCUCUUUACAGAAGAAGUAGCACUGAAGCAAAGGCUUACAAGUUGCGAGUCAGCUACUGUCUUCCACUUUAUGUCUUGGCUUUUUUCUACUAUGAAAAUGGCUUCCAAGUACCUGGCAGUUCUACCAGCUCCAAGCUUCUGGAACCCAUCUGGGCAAUAAAACAGUUGCAAGUUUGGCCAGAAGGAUCAGGCAAGGAAAUUUUCUAGGAAACUUAUGAUGUCAUACCACAAGAAAGAUAUGUGUCUGCAUUUAAAG
rnacentral:lncRNA from 1 species